GAUGAACGCUAGCGGCAGGCCUAACACAUGCAAGUCGAGGGAGAAGCCCUUUCGGGGGCAGAAACCGGCGCACGGGUGCGUAACGCGUAUGCAACCUACCUUUCACAGGGGGAUAGCCCGAAGAAAUUUGGAUUAAUACCCCAUAAUAUUAUUGGAUGGCAUCAUUUGAUAAUUAAAACUGCGGUGGUGAAAGAUGGGCAUGCGUCCUAUUAGCUAGUUGGAGUGGUAACGGCACCCCAAGGCUACGAUAGGUAGGGGUCCUGAGAGGGAGAUCCCCCACACUGGUACUGAGACAGGGACCAGACUCCUACGGGAGGCAGCAGUGAGGAAUAUUGGUCAAUGGUCGGAAGACUGAACCAGCCAUGCCGCGUGCAGGAAGAAUGCCUUAUGGGUUGUAAACUGCUUUUAUAUGGGAAGAAUAAGGCGUACGUGUACGUUGAUGACGGUACCAUAUGAAUAAGCAUCAGCUAACUCCGUG
rnacentral:rRNA from 1 species